rnacentral:lncRNA from 1 species
CUAAUUCUGCAUCUGACAAAGAAGCUCAGCUUGUUGAAGAAGUUGAGCAAACUAAUCAGGAGACUGAACAAGCAAAAAAAGAUGAGAAUGAAGAGACUGCUAAUGAAACCCAUUUAGCUGAAACUAUAGGGCCAGAACUCAAAGGGACUAGGAAGAGGAAGUCAAAAGCUUGGAGUACUUUGAUGAUGAAUGGACUGCCUGGAGGCAUGCUUGCAUGCAGCCGCAGCUCCGAUUGAUGAUAAAAUAUUCUUGAGCACAGUGUUUAUUUAUUUCUUUUGGAACUCAGUUUCUUUUCUUUUGACUCUAGAAUCUAUUGAUAAUGUUGGCUGAUACUAAGAUUUCAUAAGAGAUUACAUUGUAACUUGAUGGUUAAGGUGACUUAAAAGGGU